UACAGAGGGGGCAAGCGUUGUUCGGAAUUACUGGGCGUAAAGGGCGCGUAGGCGGCCUUCUAAGUCGAACGUGAAAGCCCCGGGCUCAACCUGGGAAUGGCGAUGGAAACUGGCGGGCUGGAGUAUGGCAGAGGGGGGUGGAAUUCCGCGUGUAGCAGUGAAAUGCGUAGAGAUGCGGAGGAACACCGAUGGCGAAGGCAGCCCCCUGGGCCAAUACUGACGCUCAGGCACGAAAGCGUGGGGAGCAAACAGG
rnacentral:rRNA from 1 species